GAUGAACGCUAGCGGCAGGCCUAACACAUGCAAGUCGAGGGGUAGCAGGAUUAAGCUUGCUUAAUUGCUGACGACCGGCGCACGGGUGCGUAACGCGUAUGCAACCUACCUUAUACUGGGGUAUAGCCCGGAGAAAUUCGGAUUAAUCCCCCAUAGUACUAAUGAAUCGCAUGGUUUAUUAGUUAAAGCAUUGCGGUAUAAGAUGGGCAUGCGUCCUAUUAGCUAGAUGGUGAGGUAACGGCUCACCAUGGCUACGAUAGGUAGGGGGCCUGAGAGGGUGGUCCCCCACACUGGAACUGAGACACGGACCAGACUCCUACGGGAGGCAGCAGUGAGGAAUAUUGGUCAAUGGGCGCAAGCCUGAACCAGCCAUGCCGCGUGCAGGAAGAAUGCCCUAUGGGUUGUAAACUGCUUUUAUGUGGGAAUAAACCUCUUUACGUGUAGAGAGCUGAAGGUACCAAAUGAAUAAGCACCGGCUAACUCCGUGCCAGCAGCCGCCGUAA
rnacentral:rRNA from 1 species